CCUACGGGUGGCAGCAGUGGGGAAUAUUGCGCAAUGGGCGAAAGCCUGACGCAGCGACGCCGCGUGAGGGAUGAAGGUCUUCGGAUCGUAAACCUCUGUCAGCAGUGAAGAACGGUCACUGUGCUAAUCAGCAGUGAAUUGACGGUACCUGCAACGGAAGCACCGGCUAACUCCGUGCCAGCAGCCGCGGUAAUCCGGAGGGUGCGAGCGUUCAUCGGAAUUACUGGGCGUAAAGCGCUCGUAGGCGGUAUGUCAAGUCAAGGGUGAAGUCCCCGCGCUCAACGUGGGAACUGCCUUUGAAACUGGCAAGCUGGAGCGUGUGAGAGGAUAGUGGAAUUCCGGGUGUAGGAGUGAAAUCCGUAGAUAUCUGGAGGAACAUCAGUGGCGAAGGCGACUAUCUGGCACAUAACUGACGCUGAGGAGCGAAAGCGUGGGUAGCAAACAGGAUUAGAUACCCCUGUAGUC
rnacentral:rRNA from 1 species